GUCAGAAACCUCUAGAUCUUCCUCGGGUCCACACCCUACUGGCUCAUGUUAAUUUUCUACUUCAGUAAAGGACAGCAGAGCCAGCUGAAACACCCAGACAGCUCAGAGGAACUGCCUGGUGCUCCUGGACCUUGUCUCCAGAUCCCGAAAUUCCCAAAGAACAAACCCUGAUGCACAGACUGCGGGGUCACCGGCUUGGUCUGUGUGGGAUUUCAAGGAAGGAGCAAAAAAACAGUGCCACACAGCUUUACCGGCACCUGCAGGCUGUGAUUUGGGGAGGGAGCAAGAGGAACCCUGCUCAUCGGCGUGGUGAGGAUGCUGCCUCACCCGACACGUGCUGACGGCUGCUGCAGGCUGAAGGGCGGUGGAGUUUGGUUCCUUACAAACUCUGGCACUGAUACCCACGGAGGGGAAAAGCUGCCCAGUGCCAGCAAAGCCACCAAACCUCCUGCCGGGCACUGUGGAAGCUCCCUGUGCUGCUCAGCUUUUAACCCAAAUAAUUGGAUGGGCACUGGAUUUCCUCCUCGCCUUCCAGGAAAAUGACCUCCCAGAGGUCUUGGCAGGGGUUAACUCUGCGCAAAGUAGUCACGCAAUGGGGAGGUCUUCUUCCAAGCACCAAAUAACUUGCAGAAGUAAUGCAUUUGUUCCUAAUUAGGAUAAUUGCCCCAUCACUUUUCUCUGUGGCAUCGGCCAACCUAACUCACAAACGUCUGAAAACACGAGCUGAAGUAUGACCAAAUUUAGGAGCUGAGUCGAGUAAUAUAUUGCCUCGGUUUGUCCUAAAACAUGAAUUGGCUGGGAGUCCUCCUGCGUAUUGCAUUUCCAGGGAACAUGAGGAACCCAUUGUGUAAUUAGCAGUAGUAUUUUCAACGCGCUGUGGUGUGCAGCCUGCGCCAUGCUCUGCCCUCCCGUCCCGGGCUACUGCACCUCCUGGGACCCUCGGUUCGUGGCUGGGAGCUGCUGGGGGGCUACCAAACGCCUGUGCCGCAGGAGUGCUGAGCACGGCUGUGGUUAAGCAGGAGGUAAGGGCUCACCUCCUCCUUCCUCCCCACAGGCAGCCAGAGCAGGGAUGUGCCUUGCUGUAACGCGCUGGGGGCCAGCAGCAGAGCUGGGGACAGGACUCUGGAAGGCUCAGAGCAAAGCCCAGGCCAUACACCAGUGUGCCCAGCACGGGCAGCUUGCUGGGGGCCUGGCAGAGCUGCUGUCCUGCCUGCAAGCUGCCUGGAUCUCUCUUGCUCCUCUUUCCACAUCCACCCGGCCCCUCUGACUGCCAUACAAAGCUUCUUUCCCCCAGGGGCGUUGAUAUUUAAAGGUUUUUGGAGAAAUCCAUUUGCACUGUAAGGAUGACUAAUGGUGAGGCCUGGGGGUGAGUUCAGUCUCCUCCAGGCCUCAUCCCCGUCAGGCCAGGAGCUGGCCAGAAAACGAGAGAGUGCUUCCCCCUCCCUCGGCCCUGUGCUAGCAGCAUUGUGCGUUCACCCCACACAUCUCAUCCUGAAAUGUUGCCCCAACCCCUUGCGACUUUUGGGAGCUUUUUUGGAGGGAUCGAGUGCUGCUGCCCUGGUUGAACAGCCACGUUGCUGCCCCAGGUCUUUGCUGAGAGCCUUUUUGGAGGGGAGGUCACACAAAGGGUCUGGGGGUGCCGGAGUUCCCAAGGAGCCUGGCUGGGUCUCCUCCUGCUCACCCUACACCACGAGCCGUGUCCCAGGCUGGGGACUGUCCCCUGCCACCCGCUGUCCCCUGUGAGGAAGGGUUCAUGGUUAAAGGAUCAGGGAAGGAGAUGAGAGUGGACUUUCUGCGUGCCAGGACAUCCUCUCGGGACAGCUAGUUGGCCCGUUUGAAGCCUCGCUCUGCCAAAGCCGUGCAUUUCCUCUCCACAGGGAUUUUCCACCCCAUCUCCACAUUUCACACAGACUUGCUGUGGGUGAGGCCCAAGCUGAAGUGCUCGUUCAUUCCUUUCACAGAGCUGGAUCCUGCACCUUGCACCGGCUGCUCCCCAGCCUGGCCGUGCCUUCGCCUUUGCUUCCCUCUCCUCUCCCCCUCCACCUUCUUUCUCCUCUCCUCUGGGGCUUUGCCCCACGUCGGAGCAGGGAGCGCCCCUCCACCAAGCAGCCUGCUCCUGGCCCUGCACACGGUGGCUUCAUCAUAGGAAGAAAGGGGGAGGAAAAAAGAAAAAGAAAAAAGAAAAAAAGAAAAAAAAAAAAAGAGGACUCAUUUUCUUUAAAAAAUACAAACAUGGAAACCUUCCCAUUAGUGUGUGAGCUGAUGGAUUUCCAAUCGGCUCCGCGGCCGAGGCAGUCUGCACACACAGAGCAUGGACCCGCAGCCUGCCUCGCGCCGUAGCCUUUCUAUUUUUUGAUGGUAGGGAGGUUCAAGUCGAGACAGAGCAGCCCCCAGGGAGUUUUUCUCGCUGCAGUUCUGCCUGUUUGAAGAUCCCAGCCUGGGAGGUCAGCGGUGU